UUAUUUAUUUUGUUUUGGUCUGUAUGUUUUUUCUCCCUUUAUAUCACACAAGAUGUUUUUCUCCUCCCAACCUCCAAAAGCCUGUUGCUAAAUAUUUUCUUUCUUGAACACUUGGGUUUCUGCAGAAAAAAAAAGUUUCAAGAAACUGUCUUCACGCUAGCAAUAAACUUUUUUCUUUGUCCUUUUCUUUGAACAGAUUUGAUCUACUUCCAUUGCAAGAGAUGUCUCUUAGCUAGGUUCUCUUUAGAAAACUUACUCUUUCUACUAAUUUACAGAGACAGCUUUGAUGACAAAUACUUUAUUUAGAACACUCAUCUUACAAACACAGAAAAAAGCCCAUGUUAGGAUGUAAAUCUUUUUCUUACUAAAGAGCUUAUUAAAGGCAAUAAUAUUUGUGUUUAUAUUUUAAACAUUUGAUAUAUAUUUGCCUGUUAGGAUUGAAGCGUUAGCUCCAAAUGUUAACUGCUCCAAAGAAAUGCAGUUUCAACAAAUAACCUGAAAUUGCCUCUGUAACAUCUAGUUCGAUUUAGAGGAAUUUAAAUAAUAAUGGCCUAAAAUGCAUAUUACAAUAACUCUGCUGAUCUGUAACAUCUUAAGCAAACAAUUUAGGUAGAAAAGACAUUUGAUAAAAAUAAUUGGUUCAGGCAAAAUAGAACUCACAUUCUUCCACCAGAUAAUAAUUCAGCGGCUAUUCUAACUUGAGUAGUGCUUUAUUAGACACAGUUCUCAUUCUGCUUAAAGACUUAAGAAAAAAGACACAUUCUUUAUCUUUAAACAAUUAUUUUAAAAUAAGUAAACAGCAGGAAUGAAAUAAAACUUCUCUAUCGGAUUUACUUGUUGUUAUUCAAUUUCUCAAAAAUUUUCUUAGGGGACAGGAGUGUCAUAUGUUUAGUUUCAGGACAAAGGCACCUUUUAAAAUGAAGAGCUUAAAGAAAACCUUUAAAGAAAUUUGCUUACUAGACAGUAGGCUAACUAAGCUUUUGGUUGUAAAAUUAUCUAGAUUACAACACCACGGGCAAAAAAACUAACAUUUAACAAACUUUAAAACUAAUGUAAGGCUAAUUUUUAAUAAAGAGCAUCUUUUAAAAAUAAUAAAAGCAGUUAUGAAUAACCCCUGGAAUUAACUUUGGCUAACAUGUGUAGAAGGCACAUUGUUUUACCAUUCUUCUAUGAUUUUCUUAACUUGGGAGUUAAGAAAAAUUAUGUAACUUCGGAAUGUUUCCAGCUUAAGGAAACAUUUUUUAUGCAGGAUGAUAUGCAGUUAAAACAAGACAAAACAAAAUCCUAGAGUCAAACAAUAUUAACUCAUUUAGCGAUUAUGUAUUAUUCUUACUAUUAUUUUGUUUGAUAAAUGACCAAGCAAUUAGAUAAUUCAAAUAAUUCAGAUUUCCAGCUGUGUUAUAAAACGUUCUUUUAAUAAUUUAGCAAUUAAUUGUGAACCCCUUGCAUGCGAUUCAUGAAUAUUCCUUUUUAUAUCUUGAGACAUGCAUUUAUAUUUUACAGUUUAUUAAUUACUUUUAGCUGCAUAUUGCAUUAAGGUGAAAACAAUCUAUUGUAAGCUAGUUGAGUUCAUUUAAGAGAGUGUUUACAUUUAAUGUUGCUUUUUAAUAGAAAGGAAUAAAGUUGCUAAAUUCAAUAUAAGGCAAUUGUUAAUUUGUUAAAGUUGCAAAUAUUUUGUUAAAAUGUUUUGGCAAUAAAAACAAUUUCAUAGAUAUUCAUAAAGCUUCACUUUAUAAGUUUCUAUUCUAUACACUUUUUAAUUGCUUUAAAUAUAUAAAUAUAUUAUUUAUAUUUAAAGGAAUGUACGAAUUAGAAUUCUAAUCCACUCUAAGGAAAGAGUACAUUUUUCGCCAGGAUAAUUAACUAUUUGCUUGGCUUCAAUUUAUCUGUCUUGUACAUACAGUGAUUUGACAGAACUAACUAGUGAACACUAACCAAAGCUAGAAUCAACGGAGAGAAUAAUCAAGAAGGAAAAAAGGAAGAGUUUCAGGAAAUGAUAUUUUCCCAUCAGUGGAUAGGCAUGCAUACAUUAAAGGCAUAAAAGGCAGCGGGAGGAGAAACAAAAGCUGUAAGCUAAGGAUCCUGCAAGUCUGAAUUAACUAAAUAGGGAAAAAAAAUGAAAUCAUUCUACUUAAACCUGUUCACUAAUAAAAGGAGAAUCGCUUUUGUUAAAUAUGCUUGGUGUGAUUAUCAAGCAAAAUUUUUUUCUCCCAGACAUCUAUGAAUAAAACAUGCGUUUGAGCACUAGGUAAACAAACAAUAAAUGGAUGAGUUCAGUUACAACAUAAUAACAUUUUAUUUAGAAAACAUAUAUAAUCAUAUUUGUAUUGGCAAUCCAAAUUUAAUGACUUCUUUCAGUAAAAUCAAAGUGCCUCACAAAUAACAUUUAAUGCAUAAGGAUUGCUUAUUCUUUGCCCUUUUUUUUCUGUUCUCCCAAAGAAACAGAUUUUUAAGGUCUCUGCUAAACCAUAUAUAAACUAGGUAAAAUGUGUUUUUUCCAGAAAAGAUUUUAUUUUGAAUCAUCUUAAUUUUAGAAUAGAGAUGCUGUAAAAAUAAAUUUAAAAAUACGUUUUUGAGAUGGGGAAGAAAACAUUUUUAGUCUAUGUAGCCUGGGCUGAUUUGAACAAGAUUCUGUGUGUAGCUGAACCAGUCUUUGGCUUAUUAGCCAUUUCAUUAACACGACAUCAUCUUCUUCAAAAUAUGAAUGAGGAGAAACCAUUUACAAUAAGAAAAGCAAACAACAGAAUGAAUUUCCUCUGUUGGUGUUUUGUAAGACUGUUAAACAGAAAAUGGAGGGAAGAACUCUCUUUAGACGAUAUCACUUAAUUAAGUAAAGCAUCCUAAUCAGAGUCCCCUCCAAUUGUAAUGACUGUAGGGAGUCAAGUACAUUUCUGUCUAUAUUAGAGUAUCUAACUGCAAUGAUUUAUUGAUAUUUAUUUUAGAAGUGCAACACAAAAGCAGUAAAACAGAGGAAGUAGGGAAAGAGGGAACAUGCCAGUGCUUACUGCAGUUACAACCAGAACACAACAAAAUUCCUGAUUUUUGUGCGGGAGGUUUCGCUUUCCAAAAUCAGAGCCCAUCUUUAUAAGAGAAUGUUCCUUUCCCUCAUUUGAUUUUUCCAAAUGCUCACUGUGGUGUUUCUUUGUCCAUUAGAUGAAUCAUUGAUUCACUUUCUUCACUGCAAGAAUCACUGCAAAUGAGUGGAUGGGCACCUGCUGUUUUCUGCAGUGACAUUACUGGAUUGCAUUCUACACUGAUUUUAGUCUUAAAAUACAGCUUCUCUGUAUGGGAGAGAGAUUUGAGGAAGGAGAGUAAACAUACUGUAUAGGCAGACAGACAUUGGCUGCCCUCCAAGUUGCACACAGCAUAAACCUGUUUAUCUGCUACAUUUCACAGAUCUCAAAAACAUGUGAAUAAUCAGGAAAGCAACUGGAUAAGUGAUUCACACUAGGGAACCUAACCAAUAUUCUGAUGAGAGAAUGCUAUGAUGCUAAGAUGUUGAGGCAAAUAGGCUUGCAUUGUAGAAACUGCACAUAGUAAAGUUGAUUAGCGGUUCAAAGGAAAAAACAAUCUGUACUAAAAUGAAUUUGAAGCAGUAUCCCACCCUGUAGUCUUUGGUUUGGUAUAUUUAUAUGCAAGUUACCUGAAUAACUGAGUUUAAAUAUAUACUUUCAUCCAUACCAUUCCAAUAUUUGGGGCCAGUAUACAUUGGCCUUCAUGCUAGUUGUCAAGAUACUUUAUUUCUAGAGACCAAGAUAUAAAUAUUGAGGGCUAGUGCCUUAAAACCCCAAAUUAUACCAAUAUAUCUUAUUUGAAAUUAAAUUACCAAACAUACUUUUGAAAAAGCAACUCUUCUUGGAAGGCUAUAGUCAUUUUUUAUUGUUAUAGAAGAUGAAUUGUCUGAUAGUAAGUGAACUAGGCAUGUAAGGCUCUCAUUGUGCUGUAUCAGUGCUUUCUCUAUUUUUCUCUUAUGUUGUUUCUUCCUUAUUUGCUGAUCAUUUAAUCUCCCUUUGCCUUAUUCCCAUGAUUAUUGUGCUUUAGUAUUUAGCUGUAAAGUAGAAGCUCUAAAAGAUUUUGAGGCUAGCCCCAAAAGUAUACUUUGGUUUGGAAAAUUUCAUGAGGUUGUUAGUGAAUUUUAGGCUUAAAUCACUUCCAUAAAUCCAACCUAAUUAAUUACAGCAAGAUGAAUUACCAACUUGCUUGAUAUUUGUAUCUAUUCACUUGUAUGGUAGAUCUGUCAUCACAGGCCUAUAUACCAAGAAAAUGUAAGUUUUUCUACAUUUGCAAACCCAAAAUACUAUUCCAGAAAGAAGAGCAGUAAUACAACAAGGCAAUUAAAUACACACUCUACACCCUACAGCUUUCUUUUUCCUGCAUUGCAGAAAGACAAAUUACUAAAGCUUUUUGAUACUGGAAAACUUUGUUAAAUUAUAGUAACCAUAGACAUCAUCAUCUUAGCAACAGAAAGUCUUGGAGAAGGUUCUUUUUCUUCAGGAUCAGGCACAGAGACUGACUGAAUGGCUCCAAUUAUCAGGAUUUGAAAACCCAGUAUCAGAAUCUACCACUUUGUAGCAUAAUAACAAAUGGCUGCUCUCAGAAAAGUACUGUGACCACAGAAAGAACAGGCCUGAGGGAGAGGGGAAAGCGGAUACCCACCUGUGUCGCUGUUUAUGUGCCAAGUCCAGGAACAGUCCAUACAGCCCUGCUGCAUCCCAUGACGCUGUCACCAAGAAGGAGGUCAUCUGAGGCUGAGGUGUUGCCAUCAAAAUGUUCAUCAAAGUAGCGACGCUGACUUCGUUCUUAGGCAGAUUAUCUUCCUGUGGAGUAUCCAGACUGUUUGCCUAGUUUUCUCGUUCUUCUGGGGUCUGUUUACUGUAUUCCAGCUACCAAAGUGGUAGAAGUAAAAUUGAAAGAGUUCUAAAUAGCUUUUUUCCAUGUUAGCUCCCUUGCAUUAAUUUGGCCCUAUCAUCAUUUGAUGAUUUGGUGACUGCAGUUAUCCAUACUAGCUCUCCUACCACUGACUACUGAGAGUUAAUUAUUAUUGAAUAUCCAACCAUCCAGGGUGAGUUAUAACUUAUGCCAGGUGUUUUGGUAAAUAAUACUAAUGCAAUUCAUUUUACUGUUUACCCUCUCAUCUUAAAGUAAUCAGCUGGUAAAAUAAGAUGGAUUGGAUUGGUACUUAAAGUUUUUUUCUUUGUGAGGCUUCUGCCCUAUUCAUAUUAAACUGUUUUAAAAUUUAUUUUACUAUUCAUACUUCCUGUCCAUGAAUCAUAUAAUCAUGUCCUUUGCCCAUUUAUCCAUUGGGAAUAUUGUUAGUGUUCACACGUAUGUUUGAAUAAAUUUUCAUAUACUUGGUGCUGAUAAUUCUAUUUUUCAUUUGUGUUAACUUUUUUUGUAUUUAUUGUUAGUUAUUUCUCUUAGAAGUUAAAAAUUUAUGUAAUUAUAUUUGACUAUUUUAUUUAAUUUCCAAUUUCUUCAUUUGCUCCACUUGUAAGAAAAUUAUCACUUUAAAGUGAGACUAAAAGCCCUAUAUAUUCUUUUGGGUCUCUAUUUCCCACCAUCCCUGAGAUUUUACUCUGACAUUCUCUAGGCCUUAUAGCCCAGGCCCCAUAACUAUUCAAUGCAUUAUAUUCACAAAGGUUUGAUGCUUGUGUUAUGACUUCAAUUGAGUAGUUACCUUAGAGCCUAUUACCUUAUUUAUCCUGUAUUUAGAACUAUUUCCCAUGUUUUCUGUUGUCCAAGGGGCUUAUAAAUCACACCCAACUUCACUCAUUCACUUACUCAUUUACUUAUUCACUCACACUUCCAUUUAUCCAUUCAUUUACUAUAUUUGGCUCACAAACUCUAGGGUGACGAACGAUGAUCCCUGCUUCCUGGUGUGUUCACUCUUGUGUGUAGGCAGGACCUGGGACUUGUUUCUGACCAACAGAAUAUGGCAAAAGUGGUGAGAUGUUCUUCCUGUGAUUAUGUUAUAUAACAUAAGCCUCUGUCUUGCUAGUAGAGUCACUCUAGACACUCUCCUUGUUGGUUUGAUGAAGUAAGCAGUCAUGUUGGGGAAGAUCUCCUAGUGAGAAACCCUGGGUAGACUCCAGCUAGCAGUCAGAAAGAAACCUGGAUCCCUGGUCUUACAGCUGCAUGGAAAUGAAUUCUGCCAAUAACCUGAGUGAGCUUAAAAGGGGUUUAUUCCUCAGUCAAGUAUCCAGAUGAGAACACAGCCCAGGUGAUACCUUGAUUGCAGUGUUGUGAGACUCUAAGCAGAGGGCCCAUCUAAGCCAUGCCCUUACCUAGAAACUGUAAGAUAACAGUUAUUUUGAGCCACAAAGUAUGCAAAGUAUGCAGUAAUUAGUUAUGCAGAAAUAGAGAACAAGUACACUGUGCUGUGCUAAUUAUCAUAUGCAUGAUCUCUUAGUGUUUCAAGUAAUGUCAUAAUGCUGAUAUUAAUGUUAUCUUCAUUUACAGAAGGAGAAACUGAGGCUUGGAAGUUGAUCUCCAGAACGUUUUGCUCUUAGCCACUAUACUAUUAUGGUAUGUUUUAUCUUAAUGUCUUGCAUUGUUUCAUGGGUUCAAGUUUAUCAUGUCCUUUGACAAGUUUAAAAAUCUAUCUGCUAAAACCUGUCAAAUACAUUAAGGAAAAGUCCUGCAUGGCACAUCUCGCACACAAGGUAGAUGUUUUUAAGUUCAACUCUAUAAAGACAUUUCAUUUAACUGUUUUGUGCUGUACUUAUAUCAUACAUCUUGUAGAAAUAAUAUUUGAUUCAUGAAUAGGAAAGGUUUUCUUAAAAGUGAUGGACUGUGAACUACUUAGAAGAAAGAAUAAUCAUGGCAGACAUGAGUCCUAAAUGCUUUGAAUUUAUCUGGAAUUAGAACAUUCAGAAAAACAUUAGUUAAAAUGUGCUGCAGCUUGAAUUGUCUUUAAUUUUGUGUAAGACUAAAACAUUUAAUCUCUGUCUUAAUGUUAACAUUUCUGAUCAGGUAUAGGCAAAAAUAUAAUAUAGAGAUAUUUAGAAACAGGGUUUCUUUUAAACAACUAAAGUCCUAUUUGGUUCACUGUUCUGAGGAGUUAAGGUGGAAUUGUGAUGUCUUCUAAUAAAAGUCCUUUUUGUUCUGCAUUAUCAGAUGUUAAUUAUUCAUACUGCAUGGCUGAGGAUUGUGGAAGCAGAAAAAGAUUCACCUGCGAUAUCUGGAACACCAAUGGGGGUCUACAUCAACCCAGAAUUUAUACAGCAGCUGGUGCUAGUCAAAGCUAAUGAGAGAAUUUCAGUUUAAUAAAAAGACCCCCAACUGAGCACACCAUCUUGAAAAAAGUAUACUUAUCAAACAACUUUCAAUCAGUUCAAGAGAGACACCUUAAUUGGGAAGAGGAAGAAUUGCAGAGUAGUUUGUAAUCAUGCCAAUUCUAGAUCAAUAACUGCAUGUCUGUUCUGUGGUAGACAUAGUUUUUGCUUCAUAUGAAGUAAUCACACAUAAAUUCCCUCUAUUUGGAUAAGGAAACCUUUGCUUUAUUUGACAACGUAUAAUGAUAUCCUCUUUUAAUACACCUCUGUGUCUUCAUAAUAAACAUGAGUUAAAUUUAGACAUGUGAUGGUAAAAGUCAAUAUAAAUGUUGAUUUUUAAAAUAAACUUUGUAUCUAACAGGAAAGAAGUGAUUAUGACAUUUUUAUAUUUUCAAAAAUAAUUUUGUCGAAAUAAAAUUAUAUGA